rnacentral:RNase_P_RNA from 1 species
ACAGUCGGGCGAUUGCGCGGUCCGCCGCGAGGAAAGUCCGAACAUCGCAGGACAGGAUGCCGGCUAACUACCGGUGAAGGCGACUUCAAGGAAAGUGCAACAGAAACAAACUACCCGCUUUUGCGGGAAAAGGUGGAAAGGCGGGGCAAGAGCCCACCGCUCCUGCGGCAACGCGGGAGGCUGUGUAAACCCCAUCCGAUGCAAGAUCCGGGAGCCAUGAGUUGUCCGCUCGCUCCCACAUAUCGCUCGAACCCGUCGGCAACGCCGGGUCAAGACAGAUAAUCGCCCAAGACAGAAUUCGGCUUACAGAUUGUCUUG